rnacentral:rRNA from 1 species
GAUAAACGCUGGCGGUGUACAUAAGACAUGCAAGUCGAACGGGAGAAGACAGGAAGAUUUAUCUACUUGUUGGACACCGUGGCGGACGGGUGAGUAACACGUAAGCAACCUGCCUAUAAGAGGGGAAUAACAGUGAGAGAUUACUGAUAAUACCGCAUAAGCUGGAGGUAUCGCAUGAUACAUUCAGAAAAGAUUUAUCGCUUAUAGAUGGGCUUGCGUCUGAUUAGCUAGUUGGUGAGAUAACAGCUCACCAAGGCGACGAUCAGUAGCCGGAUUGAGAGGUUGAACGGCCACAUUGGGACUGAGACACGGCCCAGACUCCUACGGGAGGCAGCAGUCGGGAAUAUUGCACAAUGGGGGAAACUCUGAUGCAGUGACACCGCGUAUAGGAAGAAGGUCUUAGGAUUGUAAAGCUAUUGUCGCGUGAGAAGAAAAUGACCAUCACAGGAGGAG